rnacentral:rRNA from 1 species
AGAUCUCGCCUACGGAGGCAGCAUGGGAAUAUUGGACAAUGGGGGGAACCCUGAUCCAGCGACGCCGCGUGAGUGAAGAAGUAUUUCGGUAUGUAAAGCUCUAUCAGCAGGGAAGAAAGAAAUGACGGUACCUGACUAAGAAGCCCCGGCUAACUACGUGCC